rnacentral:lncRNA from 1 species
AGCGAAAGACUGCUUGCCUGAGCCACAGUUAUUAAAGAGGGUUACUUUCUACCAUCCUAAAGAAGCUUCCUGAAGGCAAACAAAAAAAAAAAAAAGAUCCUCUGGGUGAGUGAGCUGGGAUGUAAGACUCUCUGCAUCAGCCCUUGGCUGCCCUCAGGGCGCUGCUUCUAGGUCACAGCCACUCCAUAUUGGGUGCUCACCAGAAAUUCCUUGUCUCAUGAGAUGUCUUCUGGAGAAAGUUCAGAGGCUUCUAAUUGCAAAGUGCAACCUGCUGACGUACUGCCUUGUGCCUAGGUAAGGAAAACUUGACUUCAGUCUUGAAUCUUUGUGAAAACUUUCAGUACGUUUCUGUUGCCCAG